AGUAAUGGUGGCUCAGGCGGGGGAACCGCAAGGUUCGCCGGUAUCCUUCAGAGCCGGUUACGCCAACCCCGUCUGGGCUACCACCAGU
rnacentral:antisense_RNA from 1 species